GUCACUGAUCAAUCUCCUAUACCUACAUCAUCGGUCAAGCAAAAGUGAAGCAUUAUUUUAAUAAUGGUCUGUUUUUUACCUCUUUAAUACUAAAGGUGCAUGUUAAAGGGGAGAGUUUUUUGUUUUAUGAUCCAAUAGUUUCGUACCUGAAUAAUUUUAUGUAAAAUCUUUGUAAUUGUACAUUGUUGUUGCAGUUGUUUUCUUUUUCCUUUUUUGUUUCAUGAUCUGUUUUUUAUAAUGGUAUGUUGCAAAAGUGAAGCAUUAUUUUAAUAAUGUUCUGUUUUUUACCUCUUUAGUACUAAAGGUGCAUGUUAAAGGGGAGAGUUUUUUGUUUUAUGAUCCAAUAGUUUCAUACCUGAAAUUUUUUUUGUAAAAUCUUUGUAAUUUUACAUUGUUGUUGCAAUUGUUUUCUUUUUCCUUUCUUGUUUCAUGAUCUGUUUUUUUAAUAAUGGUCUGUUUUAUAUAAUGGUCUGUUGCAAAAGUGAAGCAUUAUUUUAAUAAUGGUCUGUUUUUUACCUCUUUAGUAUUAUUUUUAUGAUCCAAUGGUCUCGUAACUGAAAAAUUGUGUAAAAUCUUUGUAAUUUUACAUUGUUGUUGCAAUUGUUUUCUUUUUCCUUUUUUGUUUCAUGAUCUGUUUUUUUAAUAAUGGUCUGUUGCGAAAGUGAAGCAUUAUUUUAAUAAUGGUCUGUUUUUUACCUCUUUAGUAUUAUUUUUAUGAUCCAAUGGUCUUGUAACUGAAAAAAUGUGUAAAAUCUUUGUAAUUUUACAUUGUUGUUGCAAUUGUUUUCUUUUUCCUUUUUUGUUUUAUGGUCUAAUAGUUUCGUACCUGAAUAAUUUUAUGUAAAAUCUUUGUAAUUUUACAUUGUUGUUGCAGUUGUUUCUUUGUGACAGGUGAAUCACUCAUGAAGCAUACUUGGUAUUUACCCUUGUUACAUGUAUAACCAACCAAUAAUCCUGUUUCCAAGUUUCCGUAAGCCACCUGUUAUUUUUCGCCUUGUGCAUAUUUUUUCGCUGAAAAGAACCCUGCUUUUCACAUAAAAAAAAAAUCUUUGCCCUCUCACCAUAUAAUUAUUUUUUCUUGUUAAUGGAGCAAUUAUCAACUUUAUAUUUAUUUGAGCUUCUUCAGAAGUUGUUUUGUUAUCCUCCGUAGUUUCCUUUCUAUCUUGUAUAACGUAUGGAGUUCUU
rnacentral:lncRNA from 1 species